rnacentral:rRNA from 1 species
GACGAACGCUGGCGGCGUGCUUAACACAUGCAAGUCGAACGGAGUGGCGAACGGGGGAGUAACACGUGGGUGACCUGCCCUGCACUUCGGGAUAAGCCUGGGAAACUGGGUCUAAUACCGGAUAGUGUGGGAUGGGCCCGCGGCCUAUCACCGUGUGGGUGGGGUAAUGGCCUACCAAGGCGGCGACGGGUAGCCGGACUGCGAGGUGGGACGGCCACAUUGGGACGGAGACACGGCCCAGACGCCUACGGGAGGCAGUAGUGGGGAAUAUUGCACAAUCGUCGGAAGCCUGAUGCAGCGACGCCGCGUGGGUGAUGACGGCCUUCGGGUUGUAAACUCCUUUCACCAUCGACGCGGUAGAUGGAGAAGAAGCACCGGCUAACUACGUGCCAGCAGCCGCGGUAAUUC